UGGACAGAUUAUUGUAUUCGAUGUAUUCACGGGGUGAAACAGGGGGUUACACUGUUUUUAAACAGAAAGUGAAUCAAUUAACAUAAUAGACUCAU
rnacentral:pre_miRNA from 1 species